GUAGUACUCCCUCCGUCCCAAAAUUCUUGUCUUACAUUUGUUUAGAUACGGAUGUAUAUAACACUAAAAUGUAACUAGAUACAUCCGUAUUUAGACAAAUUUAAGACAAGAAUUUUGGGACGGAAGGAGUACAAA
rnacentral:pre_miRNA from 1 species